rnacentral:rRNA from 1 species
CCUACGGGCGGCUGCAGUGGGGAAUAUUGGACAAUGGGGGGAACCCUGAUCCAGCCAUGCCGCGUGUGUGAAGAAGGCCCUCGGGUUGUAAAGCACUUUCAGUGAGGAAGAACGCCUGGUGGUUAAUACCCAUCAGGAAAGACAUCACUCACAGAAGAAGCACCGGCUAACUCCGUGCCAGCAGCCGCGGUAAUACGGAGGGUGCGAGCGUUAAUCGGAAUUACUGGGCGUAAAGCGCGCGUAGGUGGCUUGAUAAGCCGGUUGUGAAAGCCCCGGGCUCAACCUGGGAACGGCAUCCGGAACUGUCAAGCUAGAGUGCAGGAGAGGAAGGUAGAAUUCCCGGUGUAGCGGUGAAAUGCGUAGAGAUCGGGAGGAAUACCAGUGGCGAAGGUGGCCUUCUGGACUGACACUGACACUGAGGUGCGAAAGCGUGGGUAGCAAACAGGAUUAGAUACCCGUGUAGUC